ensembl:lncRNA
GUGUUUGUUGUGGGGAAGGGGAGGGAGGGAAGGGAGGGGAAGGAAGGGAGGGACACAGGUUAUAACACUCAUAUAACACACUUCCUCAGUACACACAGUACGCACACUGCAUCAGAACACUCUUUCUUCACACGCAGCAGCACCAUUCAAACUAAACAUGAGCGGAGCCAACGCAGUCAUCAACUCCGCCAUUGAGAAGGCUGCUGACAUGGCAAAAGACAAAGUAGCCGACCUGAUGGGGGGAAAGGCUGAAGACAAGGAAGGAGGUGCAGGAGCAGCUGCAGGAGCAGCGCCAGCGGCCGAAGGCGCCGGCAUUGGUGGCUUAGCGAAAAAGUUUGGCUUCUAAUCUCCUGGACCCUUCCUUCUACAUACUGGAAUAUAUAUAUGAAUAUAAAUUGAGAAAAACCACAAGCCUGGAACUUUGACUUGGAGAUCAACCAGCUGCUGUAUGCCAAAUGGUGGCCCAAAAUUGUUGUUGUCAUGAAAAUAAAAUAAAUAACAACAAGCACUGCCUCAUGUUUUUCAUUCCGUUUUAUUGGUUUUCGACAAAGAGAAAAAAACAUUGACACCAUUUGGUGUCAAUGUACGAAGCAACCUUUGCUUCAUGCAGCAAACAUAUGAGUCAGUUUGGCUAAUUUGCCUGCAUCUGUCUGAAGGGCGUGUCUUUUUUGGGUAGCAUUUAUCUGUACCUCUCGCAUGUUUGGUCUUAUCCAGGGUUGCCCAAAGACAUUGGACAACUCAAAGAGCUAUCCCAGAGAGUCACAUGCCUUUGAUUUUUUAAGUAUGGAUUCAUAAAAGUUAGUGUUUUAUGUCAUGAUAUGAUAUGCUAUUUAUGUGUUGAAUGUGAAUCGACUGCGUUUGUUAUGUUAUAGUAACCCACACUCAUUUUUGUAGGCC